CGCGAUGUUAACCCUUUGAACCUGAGGAAUCAAAACAGAACUAAAUAUUCCACGACGAUUCCCGUAGACGAACCGCUACUUUCUCACAGGACAGUGUCGAAGCUGCGGAUUCUUCAUUCAGUCUGCGGACUCCGAAUGAAAUGCAGUGCGCGUGCUCUGCCACUAGCGAGCACCCGACAACCUCACGAGGAAUAUCACAGCCUACUGGUUUGCUUUAUAAAGUGGGAUUCUCCCGAUUCCUUCCUCCCAUCCCAUUGGGAUAGUCACUUCAACAAAGAAGUGUUCAAGUGCUCUACUGGAAAGAGUUCUGGUGACUGUGGAGGCCAUUUGAGCACAGUGAACUCAUUGUCAUGUGAAACCAGAUUGGAGUUUUGUGACAUGAUGCACUGUCCUACUGGAAGGAGCCAUCAGAAGAUGGGUACACUGUGGUCAUAAAGGAAUGAAUAUGGUCGGGAACUAUACUCAGGUGACAGGAGUAGCACCAGUUGUGGUCUUCUGCUGCUGUAGCCCAUCUGCUUCAAAGCUGGACAUGUUGUGUGUUCAGAGAUGCUCUUCUGUAUACCUUGGUGGUAAUUUGAGUUGCCGG
ensembl:lncRNA